AGAGUUUGAUCAUGGCUCAGGACGAACGCUGGCGGCGCGCUUAACACAUGCAAGUCGAGCGAGAACCAGGACUUCGGUCCUGGGGACAGCGGCGAACGGGUGAGUAACACGUGGAUAACCUGCCCUCGGCACCGGGAUAGCCCGGGGAAACUCGGAUUAAUACCGGAUAGCCCACCUGGCUUUCGAGCCGGCUGGAAAAGGUAGCUUCGGCCUCUGGCCGAGGAUGGGUCCGCGGCGGAUUAGCUUGUUGGUGGGGUAACGGCCUACCAAGGCUCCGAUCCGUAGCUGGUCUGAGAGGACGAUCAGCCACACUGGGACUGAGACACGGCCCAGACUCCUACGGGAGGCAGCAGUGGGGAAUAUUGCACAAUGGGCGCAAGCCUGAUGCAGCGACGCCGCGUGAGGGAUGACGGCCUUCGGGUUGUAAACCUCUUUCAGCAGGGAAGAAGCGAAAGUGACGGUACCUGCAGAAGAAGCACCGGCUAACUACGUGCCAGCAGCCGCGGUAAUUC
rnacentral:rRNA from 1 species